GAUGAACGCUGGCGGCGUGCCUAAUACAUGCAAGUCGAGCGAACAGACGAGGAGCUUGCUCCUCUGACGUUAGCGGCGGACGGGUGAGUAACACGUGGAUAACCUACCUAUAAUACUGGGAUAACUUCGGGAAACCGGAGCUAAUACCGGAUAAUAUAUUGAACCGCAUGGUUCAAUAGUGAAAGACGGUUUUGCUGUCACUUAUAGAUGGAUCCGCGCUGCAUUAGCUAGUUGGUAAGGUAACGGCUUACCAAGGCAACGAUGCGUAGCCGACCUGAGAGGGUGAUCGGCCACACUGGAACUGAGACACGGUCCAGACUCCUACGGGAGGCAGCAGUAGGGAAUCUUCCGCAAUGGGCGAAAGCCUGACGGAGCAACGCCGCGUGAGUGAUGAAGGUCUUCGGAUCGUAAAACUCUGUUAUUAGGGAAGAACAAAUGUGGAAGUAACUAUGCACGUCUUGACGGUACCUAAUCAGAAAGCCACGGCUAACUACGUG
rnacentral:rRNA from 1 species